ACAAAAUGAAAUAUCUUUGCCUCAACAAAAAAAUGAAAUGUAUCAUAGUCUUAUCAAUUAAUAGAAACUCAUGCUAAAAAAAGUAUAUACCAAAAAACAAUUAUUACAUGAUCUCUAAAACAAAUGGUUUGGUCGAUUACAUGAACAAACAACACAAAGGUUAUUCAAUGAUGGAAAAAACAUUUGACCAAUGAUUUACCAAGUGAGAUUUUAAUUUCCUUUUUCCCUUCAGGACCUUAGCAAUGCAGCCAGUCUUAGCUUAUUUCGUUUUGAAAUCCACCAAAUAUUUCAGGGACAAUUACAUUUGUGCCCCUAACUGGAACCCACUACUCAAUUUUCCUGUAAUUUCAAAGCAUGCUCAAAUUUUAACCUCUGCUAUUAGUUGCCCUUAUAGAAAUGCUCUUCUGCGCCAUUACCGUCCGGUCAAACGCUGCAUGAGCCGCAGUGGAGGUCGACGUAGAUGAGGAGCUCAUGCGUCUACCACACGCCAUCGACACAUUGAAGUGUUGAUAUAGACGUCCUUGUCACUCUUGAGCUCCUGGUUGCCAUUCUCGAGGUCAAAGAAAGCGAACAGAGAUUUAACCACCACAAGCAUGUCAAACCUUGAGAAACACAAACGAAAGAGCAUAACAGAAAAAGUAGCAUGCUGAAGAAAGAAAGGAAAGAGAUGCAGGUAAUUCCUAUGCUUGAUAUAUCAAAAACAAGGCGAGGAUUGUUAUACCUACCAGCACUGAAUCUACCAGUAGUCGCCGCAUGGACAUACACCAUCCUUCAUGUGAUGGAAGCAGGAGUUGGAGAACUCGGCCCUGCCACAUACUGUGCCCUGCUCACUACUUCCCUGGCAUUAAAACCAAACAAAGAAACCAAAAUCAACCCUUUACCUAGGUUCUCUACAGAAACUCGUCUUUAAAAAACUUCAGCGGGAGAUCCAAAGAAAACGCCCUGCAUCUGCACCCCCAUAUCGUCCCCGUCCUCCGCGGGCUUCAGUACUAAACUACUAUAAAGAUGUCUACCAACAAUUCUAAUUAGAUAGAGGUAAUUAUGUGUAAACAUAAAUGAAUUCCUAAACAACAUGGAUGUAUUUUUUGAUAAAGAGCAACAAGAAGACAAACCAGAUAAUUAGUAUACAAGUCGAAAAGAAUAUCUGAGAAACAAAGGUGCGUUGUUAUAAGGUCGCAGACGUGUUUGUGGUUAGACGGUGAUCCUGACUUUUUGCUCAGUUUCGUAGUUGGAGAGAAUAUAGCUGGUCAUUUCGGUUAAUGGAAUAGAAUGUACUCCAUCUAAAAAACACAUGUUUGUACCCUAGCACAGGAGCAUUGCUCACUGAUCUUCCAUAUUUCAGAUUUAUAUGUUAAUAUUUUGAUUAUUACAUAACCUUCUCAAAGUCUCUCUGACUCUACAAAAUCAAGCAAGAACCAGAAGAUGCUAGCAGAGAAUUUAAUCCAACAUUAUGCUCUACUUAGCCUGACAUACACUGCUGAAACUUGAACAAUGAUUCUAACACAAGUCUGCAGCAUGAAGAGUUCAUCGUGUACUCAAGCGAGAAGGUUAAUUCUGCCACAGACCAAACGUUCAUUGCAGCAGCCCCACGAGCAACAAAACCAGCCAAUCACACAGAAACUUGGUAGGGUUAUGUAGCAAUCUCCUAAGAAAUCCUGUUCACCAAAUACCAAGGAGAUAACUUGGCCCAAGAGAAUCUAGCGGCUAAUUCAGUAACGAGAGGUGGACCUGAAAUUAGGUAGUUGCUACACGCGGGGGGCAAACAAAUCUCUCACCUCCUCUUCCUCCUCGUCCCCUGCGGCGGGCUUGACGGGCACGACAUCGAACGAGUCAUACUCCCCGCCGUCCCCAUCAUCGCCGCCGCCGGCAACGCUGUUGCUGCGACCGCUGGAGGAGGAGGCGGCGGCGGAGGACGAGGAGGAUGAGGACAGGGAGGAAGAGCCGGACGAGGCGCCGCCUCUGCCUUCGGCCUCGGCUUCGGCGCCGUCGUAUUCCUCGUCGAAGACGUGGACGUCCUGCUCCGCGAAGUCCACGGUCGGGCGGGCCGGCGAGGGUUCCUGGUUGGGGGUCAGUGGGGGGCCGGCGAGAUGUCAGGGGGCAUCGAGGGAGAGGGGAGGAGGCAGCGGCGGCGAGAGAAAGGGGUCGUGCAGAGACCCCUCGGGCUAGGUCUUGCCCAAGUGCUUUGGAUCUCUCCUAUCCCUCCGUUUUUUUCCUAUCGCUAGCACAGUAAAAGACACGUGGACAUAACCGUAACUCGCCCUUGUAGCGACUGUUAAUGGGUUGUACUAGUGGUUGGGGCGCCACCCGGUGGCGCCGCCUGAGAGGAAGCUGGGCGGUGCCAGGUGGGAGGCGCCCCUUCCACUUUACUUUUUAUAUGUAGUGUUAUUGCAUAGAAAUAAGGAAUUUCAGAUCAUCAGGAACAAAAUAGAAAGUUCAUUACACACUUGACCAGUUAACUAUGAAACACUUCUUUGGUUAUUUUCUUCUGUAUUUUAUAGUAAAAAAAUCAAGCUCCUCUGAUACCUCACUUGCCUACAGGAAACAACCAUGUCAGUUAUUGAGGAUUAUUCGUUCUAUACCUUGAGCAUUUUAAAGAGGGGUUUGUCAUGUAUUUGCUCCACAGAGUUGUCUGUUGUGUAUAUGCAAUUUCUCACUUUCUAAAGAAGGUGCUUUUUCAGCAGUUUGACUGUUCAGUUGUGGACAUGCAUCACAUCUUCACUUUGAAU
rnacentral:lncRNA from 1 species